rnacentral:rRNA from 1 species
GAUGAACGCUGGCGGCGUGCUUAACACAUGCAAGUCGAACGGUGAAGCCCAGCUUGCUGGGUGGAUCAGUGGCGAACGGGUGAGUAACACGUGAGCAACCUGCCCCGGACUCUGGGAUAAGCGCUGGAAACGGCGUCUAAUACUGGAUAUGAGCAUCGGCCGCAUGGUCAGCUGUUGGAAAGAUUUUUCGGUCUGGGAUGGGCUCGCGGCCUAUCAGCUAGUUGGUGAGGUAACGGCUCACCAAGGCGUCGACGGGUAGCCGGCCUGAGAGGGUGACCGGCCACACUGGGACUGAGACACGGCCCAGACUCCUACGGGAGGCAGGAGUGGGGAAUAUUGCACAAUGGGCGAAAGCCUGAUGCAGCAACGCCGCGUGAGGGACGACGGCCUUCGGGUUGUAAACCUCUUUUAGCAGGGAAGAAGCGAAAGUGACGGUACCUGCAGAAAAAGCACCGGCUAACUACGUGCCAGCCGCCGCGGUAAAAC